GGGAGGUUAUUGGACAAUGGGCGAAAGCCUGAUCCAGCAAUGCCGCGUGCAGGAUGAAGGCCUUCGGGUUGUAAACUGCUUUUGUACGGAACGAAAAGCUUCGGGUUAAUACCCUGGAGUCAUGACGGUACCGUAAGAAUAAGCACCGGCUAACUACGUGCCAGCAGCCGCGGUAAUACGUAGGGUGCAAGCGUUAAUCGGAAUUACUGGGCGUAAAGCGUGCGCAGGCGGUCUUGUAAGACAGAGGUGAAAUCCCCGGGCUCAACCUGGGAACUGCCUUUGUGACUGCAAGACUGGAGUGCGGCAGAGGGGGAUGGAAUUCCGCGUGUAGCAGUGAAAUUGCGUAGAUAUGCGGAGGAACACCGAUGGCGAAGGCAAUCCCCUGGGCCUGCACUGACGCUCAUGCACGAAAGCGUGGGGAGCAAACA
rnacentral:rRNA from 1 species